AGAGAACAAGAACAGAAAAUCUCUUGUCGGGAACAUAUUGGUUUACACAAAUAUGUGAGUUGCAUCCGGUGUCGUAGCAUCGGUUUCACGAUCGUGCAACGGAGGGAGGCAGGACGGAUCCGUUACAACGGGUUUUGAUUGGUCCGGGCUCAAAGGACGCCCCGAUCACGAGGGAUCGUGACCGGUCUGGAGAUUCCUGGCAACACCGGUCACGGGCUAUAUGGCCGGUGGCGGGUCGAUGUAUUCGUUUUCGAUUUCGGACGAUUCGGUUCUCUUGAUGUAACUUUCAAUCUAGCAGGCAAGCAUACAUAUUUUUCUCGACCAAAAACUUUAAAAUAUACAUAUUACCUGUGGAUUUUGAGUUCCAUGAAGUUUCUCGAUUUUGAAUUCACAUGUUUUGGGUACGACACACAAUGAAGAGUUGUUUCGGACAUCUUCCAAUCUAGUACGGGAACUAAUGUUUUUCUCUCGGUCAUUUUCUCCAGAAGGGGUACAUUACUUAUGGAUAUUUGAUCUAAAGUAUUUCCUGAAACAUUUAAACUUCAAUCGUCAAUUACACGAAGUUAAGAUCGGUGGUACGGUGACAGCUCUUUUGGUGUUGCAAUCGUCAUAUCUUUCAAUCUAUUCUGAUGUCGGGCACAUCUUUCUCGAUCAUAUGCUCUAAAAGAAGCAUAUUGCUGAUGGAUUUUGAAUCUCUGGAGAUUCUGAUGAUGUCGACUUCCGUCGUUCAGUAAGGCUCAAAUGAAACGGAUAGCACUAUCUUGCAAAUGGAUCCUUCAUUGAAAAUUCUGUCUCGCCCAUUACUCAUGAAAUAUUCAAGUUAACAAUGAAUACUCAAUCACAGAUAAUUUGAUCGGACAGAUAGUGUUGUUUAGAAUACUUUUACAUUAGAAACUUACAAUAUUUUACAAGUAACU